rnacentral:rRNA from 1 species
GUCCCAGCUGUAAACACUGCCUGUUUGGUGCUACAGCUCCUUCGUGGAGCUGUGGUGUCGUAGCGAAGGCGUUAAACAGGCCGCCUGGGGAGUACGGCCGCAAGACUGAAACUUAAAGGAAUAGGCGGGGAGCACCACAAGGGGUGAAUGCUGCGGUUCAAUUGGAUUCAACGCCCGGAACCUUACCAGCAUCGACAGCAGAAUGAAGGUCCUCCUAAAUGGGGGUACUCGACACGCUGAGAGGUGGUGCAUGGCCGUCGU